CAAUGGCAGGUGUUAUGCGUUUUGCAUCAAGCGUUAUCUGGUAGUUAACUAGCCCUCUUCUUUCCCUCAGCUAGCAAUGUAAAAUCAUAUAGGUUACAUGACACAUCAUUUUUUUCAGCUGAAAUUUUGCUAAAUCAUAGUGUAUAAAGACACACAUAAUAUUUCUAGUUUAUCAGUUGUCCUCUCUAUUACCGAUGAGCUUGGCUCAUAGCGUUAGUAAACGUGCAGUUUAUUUGCAAGUGGGCCGCACCCUGUUUGUUUCUAUGGUAACGCAAAGUGCCGACGUUCUAUCACCAACUGUAAUGAUUCCUGAAAGACAAACACAAUAGCUAGCUAACAUUGGCUAAAGUUAAUGUUUUGUCACCUUAACUUACCCUAACCUUUGUUCAGAGAAAGUUUGGGAUUUGCUACUAAUGAAGCAAAAGUUUGGAUAUUAGCUUGAAGAAAAAUUGUACUUUGAAAGAUAAGCUGGCUUAGCCGAAGUUAAUUUAGCUGAAUAUUUAUUUUUUGUUAGCUAGCUAGAUAGCGUUAGUUUUGAGAAUAGCAUUUCUUAAUGUUAGCACAAAAUUACGCUAGAUUGGCUCGACGUGGGGAAUAAGAGAUGCUAUUCCUGUAAUAUUAAGUUAGCCAUACUGUUACUUAGGUGACAUUUAACCGUUGUUAAUGUUUUUUAAACCACUUUAAAGAGUGAAAUGGAUAAGACAGCGGUUUGCAGCAACACCUGUAAUACCACAAGGACAGAUCUCAGUUUACUGCUUGAGUGUUUGAAGUUUCAGAUGAAAUGUCCUGAUUUGCAAAAACAAGCUCUUCUCGCCAUUCACUCAAUCUGUGAAAAGAGAGAGGAUAAUGUGGACCUGCUGAGAGAAAUGGGGGGUGUGGCAUUUGUGUAUAACCUCUCCAAAUCCAGUAUUGUUCAUUCAGAUGUUAAGGAGACUGCACUCUUUACGCUUGGCACGCUAGCAGAAGCCAAUGUGUAUUGCAAGAAUUCUCUGUGCAGAAAAGAGACCUUUGUAGACCUUGCUGGUUGGUUGAUGAAAGAAGACAUCCCGCUGACACAGAAGACAGUGUCUGUCUAUUUGCUGUCUGUGUUGGUAGCCAACAACAAAACAGGACAGACUUUAGCUCAAACCACUGGCUGCCUGGAUAUUCUACUGGACCUCUUCAGGGCCACUUUCCCCCUCUCCACAGAGGCUACUUUGAGAGCAGCUAAUGCUACUCAAACCUACAAACUUUGGGCAUCUGUGUCUAGUGCCCUCUGUGGAUGUGUCAACAACCCUCAGAAUGAUGAGGGUCAGCGUAUUUGUGUGGCAGCCUUUCCCAUAAUAAAAAUCUGGCUUCAGCAGAUUGAUUUGCCACGCACUGAGAUUUUUCAACCCAUAUGUUCCUUCAUAGCAAUGACAGUUGCCAACAACUCCUGUGUUCAGGAGAGUUUUUCUGUCUCAGGGGGUCUGGAUACUCUCACUCUUGCACUGGUUUGUCUUGCUUCUGCAGCAGAUACAAGCUUGUUGUUUUGCCAGCUUUCUGUCAUUAUAUCCAAGACCCUGUCAGCUUGCAUCACAGAUAACUCUUCUCUGGCUUCAGGUCUGGCUCAGUAUGGUGUGGUCUCCCACCUCUUCUCCCUGCUGGCUAGCCCACAUCUGGACCCUGAGGACAGGCUCUCUAUUUUACUCACCCUGGGCCACUGCACUGAGGCCUCUGAGGAGCAACAGUCCCAGUUGGUGCAGUGCGGAGGCCUGCCCCAUAUCAUAACGCUACUCACAGACGAUACAAGUGAGGAGGUUAGGAAGGCUGCUACAUUCAUAUUGCAGACCUGCAAACAGGCCACCAUGUCCUUGGGAGUACCUGGUCUAAUAGCGAGACAGGGGGAGGGUGAAAAUGUGGAGCCCCUUACAAACAUGGAAGGCUUCAGGACCUCAGCAAGAGAGUUGCUGCACAGAAUUGGCCUGCUAGAGAAGAGACAGGCAAAGGAGGCUGAGGAUAAGCAAGAAUACACAGACACAUCAACUUCCACUGAAGAGCUAGGCCAACCAUCUCUACUUCCUGCCUUACCUCUGCCUCUGCAGACAAAGGAGAACAUUAAAACCAUCCCCACAGCAUAUAGACAGACCAGCACUCUUAAGCAUGUAGAAGCAGGGGGUGACAACAACAUUAAACCUCAAACUGUCAGACACGUGCUCAAGAAUGGGCAAGACAGUGAACUGAAGAACAUGAACUCCAAUUUAAGUAUGCAGGAAGAGAGGGCUAAAACCAAUGGAGGGGAUGUGUGGUGUUCAGUGUGCAAGGGUACUGGAGCUCUAAUGUCUUCCCAUCUGCGAUCAAUAGAGGGAGGCAGAGAGCCUCAUACAGCAGACAAUCAGUUGUUUAAGCCCCCAGCACCAGUGAGGCACAGUGUACCAAAAGAGAUUAAAUGCACUGAUGAAGAAGAAUUGCAGGGCCGUGAGAUGAGUAAGGUGGGGAAAAUCCCAGUGGAGGAACAUUCACUCUCUCAUAUCCGGUGUGCAGGUUGUGUGUUGCCUUUUGAGGAGGUGACCAGUCGCACUUUUAUGUCUCUCCAAAGCUCCUUCCACCACAACUGUGACAUGCACAAGGCUCUCCAGGAGGCCACAGAGCGGUUCAGGACUCAUCACUGCAACCUUCUGUUCAGGAGAGAGUACCAAGACAACACUGUGGAGCAGACAGACCCAGACUCUGAGAGAGUGUCAGCACCAGAGCCACAGAGAGGCUGGGAAAACUUGAGCGAAGAGGUCUGCCUGACUCCUGUACGUAAAGGAGCAGGGAAAGGCAAGAGCUCCCUGCCAGAACAUCACUGGAAGAAGCACAAUGGCAUCAGUUUGACUCCACUGCACAGAGGAGCUAAAAAGGACAUGUUGACCUCUUAUAACAAGACCGGUCCAGGCUUAACUCCCCAGAAAAAGUCUCGUCUUCCUGAAGAGAAGGAAGAGGAAAGACUUCAGCCGUGAAGAGGUGCAUUACCUACUGUGCGGAGUGAAGACUUUUGGCUUCUCCUGGAACUCCAUCUUGUGGUCAUACCCCUUCCAACCUGGACGCUCCAAUGUUGACCUGGCCAAGAAAUACAGGCGGCUAAUGAAAGGUAAAGUCCAGGAUGCUGGCUGUGCAUAAUCCUGGUCCUGAGAUCCUGGGCAAACCCAUUGAUAAUGGUUCUCUGUUAAUAUUAGAUUUUAUUUAUUUAGAUAAUAAAAUACCUUCACUCUCUUCAGUUUAAAACUCUGUAUUUAUUGGAAAAAAUCCAAAGAAGCAUUUACUUCACUACAUACUUAUAAUAUAUUGUACUCAGUAUUUAUAUAGAUUUUUAGUACUUUGUAUAUGGUUUGCACUGUCUUAAAAAUUGUUUUUGCAGCAGUUUUUAGAGCUUUGACAGAUAUUGUUAAUUGUUUCUUUUUAUCAUAUUUUAAAGCAUUAAAACAGGUGUUUGAGAUUCUGA